rnacentral:lncRNA from 1 species
UUUCACAGAGCAUGGGCUUCUCACCGACUGCAGCACCACAAGUGACGUGCUGAGCAAUGUGGAGAGGGAUCUGCUCCGUGGAUAAUGCCUCUGGUGGUUCUGCACAGACGUAGGAUAAGGUCCAGCAGGAAGCAAGACUGAGGGAGCUGGAGAAGAAGGUUGCUCAGAGAAGGACAAGGGAUACAGUACGUUCAGCUGGGGGGUUUGUUGGGACCUGCAUACGCCCAGGAUGGAAAGGAUGAUGGGAACGUAAUUCAGUGGAUACCUUUGGAGCAGCAGUCGCUCUCUGGGCUGACAGAGGGACCAGAAAAAAUGCUCUUACACAUUACUUUGCUUCAGAUUUGUAAUGACUCCCACACGCGUUGGAUGUAGAAAAAGUGUGUCCAAAAGGAAACCUGAGGAUCUGGGGAGUAGGUAGGUGCUGAUAUUACUUGUAUCCACUCAUAGGCUACUGAUGAGAAUUAAAUUGAGGUCAGCCCUGGGCACAGAGGUUUAUUUGAUAUUGUUGGUGUUGAGAGUAUG